GACGAACGCUGGCGGCGUGCCUAAUACAUGCAAGUAGAACGCACAGUUUAUACCGUAGCUUGCUACACCAUAAACUGUGAGUUGCGAACGGGUGAGUAACGCGUAGGUAACCUGCCUGGUAGCGGGGGAUAACUAUUGGAAACGAUAGCUAAUACCGCAUAAUAUUGAUUAUUGCAUGAUAAUUGAUUGAAAGAUGCUAUUGCAUCACUACCAGAUGGACCUGCGUUGUAUUAGCUAGUAGGUGAGGUAACGGCUCACCUAGGCGACGAUACAUAGCCGACCUGAGAGGGUGAUCGGCCACACUGGGACUGAGACACGGCCCAGACUCCUACGGGAGGCAGCAGUAGGGAAUCUUCGGCAAUGGACGAAAGUCUGACCGAGCAACGCCGCGUGAGUGAAGAAGGUUUUCGGAUCGUAAAGCUCUGUUGUAAGAGAAGAACGGGUGUGAGAGNGGAAA
rnacentral:rRNA from 1 species